UAACUGCACACGAGCUCAGAUGGGCUGGAUAUCGGCGUCGUUGGUUAGUCCCUCUGGAUCUGGGCCAUUACAUUAUACACGCGCCUGUGGUUUCCCAGAAAAUGCACACUGUAGCAAAAUACGUACGCUUCCGCGGUGGGUAGUGGGCCAUGUUGACGGAGUAGAAUAGGCAGAUUUAACGCGAAAGUGGGGUGAGCCGCGGAUCGGAAUUGCGCACCCCGUCUGAGCCGCGGCUCGGAUAGUUCGCUUUCCGUUAGAUGGCUGCUGGGACGAAUUCAUUGCAGGGGCGAGCGCCUCCUCCACCCCCAAGUGCGAUUUGGUCGGUGAACACUUCGAGACACAGCCAUGGAGCGCCGACGGCGAGGGACAAUGGAGUUUUUUAUGCAACCAAUUGACUGGCUUUCCAAUUUUUUAGAUCCACUCUUAUUGAGGAAGUAGGGGAGAGCUUGGUGCCGCCCCCUCUAGCUGCGAAUGGCGAUAUGCGGGCGGAGCUGGAGGUGACGCAGUAGCAUCCGGCGGUGGCCAGCGGCGAAGCACAGAUCGUCGCGGCGGCGUCCAGAAGGGAGAGCUCGCCUCCGACCUAGGAGUUGUCGAUGGGCAAGAUGAAUCCGCAGGCGCCCGAGUGGAAUAAGCGGGAGCGAGUUGCUUUGGAUGUUGCGUGCUUACUGCAUUAAGAUAUUUGAUGCGAACAGUCAAUUGGUCAGAUGGACCCAAAAGCUCCACGAUGAAUGCGAAGGUACGCUCUUAAUCAUUAUGGAGUCUGUAGAAACUCAAAAUGCAAUUGUCAUUACAGGGGGGGCUAGCAUAAUACUUGUAGCGGCUCAUCUUGGAAUUUGGUUUACCCGGGGACUAGCAGCUAGCCUAGAAACUGUCUGGAAUAGUUAAAAUGCGGAUAGGUACAAUUUAUAAACUGUGGUGAACAUAUGAACCUUCAUGAACUAAGGCUGUAAAUGUCGUUAGAAAGGGGAUGGCAUAGAUAAUGCAGCUGGAACAUAAAUUGUACUGCACUUCAAAAAUUAUGAGGUUGCGCAUGUCUGUAAUUUAGGUUACACAUUCAGUAUCCGAAUACCUCAAUUCGCUUCAAAAAGCUGUAGCAACAUAGUGAUGUCCCUGAAUUAAAAUACAUAAUUAUAUUAACAUUGGUUUGUUGCUAUGAGUAAUGGAGUUAGUGUGGGCUGGAGUACCUAUUUGACAGAAUGUGGCAAGCUGUCCAUAAUUUGGUAUUCGUUUUCUGUUGCUUGAUGCAUUGGGACUACUCAUCAUAUAUAAUAUAAUCGAAUGAUGUUUUAUAGUUAUUGUUACACUACAACGGGAUUGGUACACUGAUAAAGAACUUAGAAAAAUGUUGGCUGCAAUGCAGCAGUAGAGUUUUUAAUUUUAUGAAAGCUUACUUUGCUGGCAGUUUUAAAGGUCAGUUUCUCUAUUUGAACAUGCACCUUCCAUUGAGUACAGACUAGAAACCCUAUUCAAUAUAAGGUUGAGACAGACAGUUUCUAAUGCAAUCGAUUGGUCUAAUUGACCACUUUAAAAUAGUGUGCUUGAGUGGUCUAGCUCGAAUUGCAUUUUCAGAAUGGAUUGCUGUAGGCAACUGUGCUUAAUAGACAUGUGAAUUAUAGGUAGAUGUAACGUGUUAAUUAACACAUGGAAUGGUUUUCAUAAUUGAAUGUGUAAUUCAACUGGGUGAAACCAUAGUAAACUAGACAUCUGACAACUAGAGGCAGCUUCUGUAUUAUGACGGCAUAUUAAGUAUAUUGUGUCCGUCUUGAAUUUCUUACUGUUAGCCUCUAGCGUGGUGUUUCAAGCAAAUAUGUUGAAAUUGUACUUCUGAAGUGGAGACACUGUGACCUGAAAUAACAAAAUGGGAUUGGUUUAUCCAUCUUGUAAAAGCAAUUAAGUUUGGUUUUAGUUUACUGAAUAUAAAACAUUGAAACACCUUUGAAGUAAAAAUUGGAAAAUAGUAGGAACCAUAGAAUUAAUUACAAAAAGAUGUUCUGUGUCAUGUGGUUGUGUGGAAAACUGUUUACAUGGAAAAUGAUAGAUAUCUGAUGGACAAAGGGGGGGCAAUCUGAAGCACUGCAUAAAAGCUAGGUGGAGUUGAUUACAUAUUUUUGGCAAUCAGUGGUCACAUGUCUACCCCAAGGUGCCUGAUGUCAUGAUCUCGAAGGUGUUGUUCUGACAAGUUAGAGGUGAUCGCGUAGGUAGUUGGAUCCUGAAGAUGCAAGUCUUGACGACGACCCCUAGGUUAUAUUUUGAUACUUCGAGCCGGUGAUAGCUGUCAUGCCAGAUGCUGCUAUGGCAGUCCCCAAAUUCCUGAUGUGUGUUCAGCGAUAGUUACAUGCAUGUAAAGCAAAACUUAUACUUUGGUCUGGACGUGACCUGUUUAACUUGCAUCCCACAUAGCUGGUGUGGAAGUUCUUUUGCUCACGGCGAGCUUACAUAAUGAUUGCUAAAUGUAUGAAGACAUGUCUUUAUAACAUGUCUAAGAUUUUCAGUUGAAGGUGUGGAUGGUGAGAGGAGAGUUCAUAUGCUGCGAAGAGAGUUUGUAUGAUGGUGAUGUUAGAUUUUAUUUUUACUGCUAUGAUGUUAGAAUUUGAAUGAUGUCCUUUCAUUGCCGUAUAUUAACACCAUAGCAUGGUAAGAGGGAUAGUUUUCUUCAAGAUUGUGGUAGGUUACGUGGUAAGAAUUUUGAGUCUGAAGAAGAAAUGCGCUACAAGCAUGAGGACAAUGCUAACAUCAUCCUGGAAGGACUGCGUCGAUGCAUAUACGUGCUAACAUCACUGGAUGGCAUGUUCCAGCGCAAGGAUGGAGGGUGAUCUAUAAUGUGAACAUGCAUCCAAGUUGCGAAAUUGAGAACAGCUGGCUUUACAUAUUGAAUUACAUUCGGGAAUUAACUGGGUUGUACAUCUACACUCCCCUGACCCUGAAAGGAGAACCUGUAAAGAAAGCCGGGGCAGAAAUUGCUUUACGAGGUGAUAUCUAUGAGGGGGAACCGUGCUGAGCUGCCAGAUUUUAUGAUUGAGGUAGUUCCAUUCUGAUAUGAGAUGGGCUAUUGGAGGAAGUUUGGUUAUCAUAUAUACAGUCUGGUUCUAGUAGUUGUGAGUUUGCUGCGAGAAGCAUAACACACUAGAAGGAAAUGUUAGCUACCAUCCCGGCUGUUCUGGUGUGGUAGUGGUUACCAGGGAGGUCAAGUGUUACCAUAUAAACUCGUAUCGCAAAUGGAGGCAAGUGUUAGCUACCAUCUCCUGAAUUGUGGUGUAGUGAUGAUCUCUCAAUGAAUCCGCUAGCAUCCAGGGUUGUGUUUUGAGCAAGGGAUGUGAGUUAAACUAUAAUCCACACCACCUGUCUUAGAUGUAAGUGUGUCUGAACCACGCGUGGAUGUAUUAAGUACUGUAGAUGUGCAUGACUACAAAUUAUGGUUGGGAGCAUCAGAAAUUGUAUGCUUACAACGUGUGGUUUGUAAGCUGUGGUAGCCGAUGAUUUUAUAAUACAUGAUGCCUGGUAUGGCUUGGAGUUGAGUGAGGUCGAA